ACCUGACGGAGCGCAGCAGCGCCACCCAGCGGGCUCCAUCAUCAUCAUCACACACGGCUCCUGCCUGCAGCUCAACACCAACACACAACACACACAACUCGUCUGGGUGUGAGUAAUCAUCCAGGUGUCCACAUGACCAUCAUCUUGUGAAGAGGGCCUCACCCAGGGGCCGUGCUGCUGUCAGGGGAGCGACGCCAGACAAAAUGCACCUGAGAUGCGUGUUCUCCAGGGGAUGUGAGGAGCUCCAGCCAUAUGUCAGACCUGGUGUUGCAUCAUUGAUAGUAAUAAUCUACCUGAAGGAGUUGAGUCUCAACAGGUUGGGCUCUCACUAAUCUGGCAGACAUUAAUAUUCACUUUUAUGCUGAAAAUAGAGCUAUGCAUCACAGAAAUAAAUUACAUUUAAAAUUAUAUGAAAAUAGAACAUUUUAAUAUCACAAUAUAUAUAAUACAGUUUUACUGUAAUUUUUAUUGUAG